CUCCUCUCCCAAAUAAAAAAUCACCUGCUGCAAAAAUAUCCCUUUGCUCCAAGCUCUAUGGAGUUUGCCAUCAGCUCAUACCACAGUGAUGUCUUCCAUAGAUACUCUAUCAGAUAGGUCAUUGGAGGCAGUGAGGGAAAUAUCCUCUGCUCUAAGAUCUUCCCAUCUUGUGAUUCCCACAGGUCCUCAGAGAUCUCUGGAUUCAGACAGGGCACUAUGUGCAUACAGAAUGCUUUCUUCCUCAUCCCACGAAGGGAACCAAUGUUGUCUCCGAAGACAAAUAUCCCUUGUAUGAGAAUACUUCUAUUAUUCCUUCACAAUGGUUCACACCUCUAAGACUGUCAAGAAGUAAAGAGUACUAAAGAUGGAAGAUGACAUUGUUUACUGUUCCUGAAAUUCAUUCAUGGCUUUGGUCAAAGGGUCAAGCAUUCCAAGCUCUAGAAAACAGAGAAAAAAAAAGGGCAUAAUUCCCAAUCCAUCUAGAAAGAUGUCCAUUAAAUGUUACUUUUAAUAUUGGAGAGAACUAUUUCUCAAGCCAUGUAUAAUGAACACAGAUUUCCAAAGACGGCAUCAUUUUAUUUGCCACUUUUCCUGAUGGAAAGGAAAAAAGAGGUCAUUCCAAAUCAGCUAUAAUGAAGCCUACUAUUCCUGUAUGCUCUACCAAUGAGAUAAAAUUAUUUGGAAGAUCUUUUUCCUAACUGAACAGAGAUCAAUUCUCCCAAGCCAAAGUUAUCUUUAUAUCAUUCAAUUAAACUCUUUUCCUUCCUAAGAAAUGGAAACCAAAAGAGGUAGAAAUACAUUUCAUAAGAAAGCUGAGAAAAUAGUCAAAUAUUCAGAGAAAAGAGGACUCACAGUGCCACGAAAGCUGCAUAAGGCCCUUUUGUACCCCAGGGGCAUCUGGGGAAGCCACAUAUGUAUGUUGCAAUGGAAUUGUGUCAUCAUUUCCCUGAAUCUGAGGGGAGGGUUUGCUCUAUAUAAAUUGUGGUCACAGAAGCUAACUGAGCUCACUUCUGUUACAUUUGUGGCCAGGAGAAGAAUUGCACGUAAUUAUGCAUCUUUGUUCACCAUGCGUGGAAACAAAUCCCGGAAAUGAAACCAACUAUUCUAUCAAGUUCUCCAAGCACAUAUCCAUCACAUUUACCAGACCUCAAGAGUGUGAAUUUAGAAACUCAAGAAUGGUGCUUCCCCUGCAAUGAUUUCCCAAGGUGUGUGGUCAACAGGGGAUGGAAUCCUUUACAGUGUGACACGGAGCCAGGAGAGAGUAUCUGGGUACAACAUUGUAAAUGAAGGACAGCUUCAGUCACCUAAUACAUCUGCAACAGCUGUUUUGGCACCCAGUUAUUGAGCUCACAAAGACUUAUUUAACAGUGAGAAUACACAACGUAGUGUGUGUAUCUGUGUAUGUUUUUAAUGACCUACACACAGGCUACUAUUUUAUAGUGGCUUCCAGCAGAGAGAGGAAAAAACAAGAUUCAACUAUAGAAGCUGUCUACAUUUAAUAUUUCUGUUAGUUUUCUGUCUGCCAGUCUGGCAGAUUGGCCCAAUUGGAAAAACAACAUCUAUGAUUGCUGAAACAGUUCCUGGCUACAUUUGGCACCCUUCAUCACUGUACGACACAGAAAUCCCUGUCUGCAAAUCUAAGGCAAAAGAGGCCAGGCUUUGUGUAUCACCAAGACUUAUCUGUUCGUCUUUAUUUCAAAGUCCAAAUUCUAAUGUCAUUCCUCAAUUCAAUAGCAUAGCAGUCUGCCACAUUUCACAAAAACAAUGCAAACUCUAUGCAAAUCCUUGGGUUAACUAGAUGUCAUCAGUCCCGUGUCACUAUAAAAAAAUGAAUCUCUCUCCUGUUUUCUGCUUUGUUUUGUUUUUCUAGGCCAAGAAAAAAAAAUCCAAACUUUUAUUCAUUUCACUCAAACUCUAUUUUUAACGGGAGUAGAAUUAAAAUAAUUUUUCUAUACAUUGAUAUACAAAUAACAAAAAUACACUUGACAUCAUGUGCUUUUGAUUACUGUUGGACCAACAAAAUUCUUCAAUGUGGUGAAAAAUGUUUAAAAAGUACUGAACCUGAAAUUGGAAGUGCCAAGUCUGAAACUUGGUCUUGACUCUUAGUAACUGGGAGAGAUUUGACAACUCACUCAACCCUCUGAGUCACCCAGCCUCACAUUAUUGGAACAUCAAAUAGGAUUUCAUGUCUGGUAAAAGACAAAGUCCCAUUCAAAUGUAAUGUGAUAUACUAGAAAAUUAAGAGAGAACACAUUUGUCUGUAGGUAGUAUUUAAACCAAAGCUUACCAGCAAAUAAAUCUGUAAUUCUUAAAAAGAAAAAAAAAAAAAAAAAAGGCUGAAAAUCCUAUUCCCAACC